rnacentral:rRNA from 1 species
UUUAGAAACGGCUACCACAUCUAAGGAAGGCAGCAGGCGCGCAAAUUACCCACUCUCAGAACGAGGAGGUAGUGAAUUUAAAUAGCGAUGAUGAACUCUUAUGAGGCUCGUCAAUCGAAAUGAGUACAAUUUAAACCCUUUAACGAGUACCAAUUGGAGGGCAAGUCUGGUGCCAGCAGCCGCGGUAAUUCCAGCUCCAAUAGCGAAUAUUAAAUUUGUUGCAGUUAAAAAGCUCGUAGUUGGAUCCAAGGUUAGGCAUGCCUGUCUGUUCUUAGUAGCGUGACUGUGUGUGUCUGCCUUUAUUAGUUGAAUGUUCAUUAUGGUGGUCUUCAUCGACUGCUAUGAUGUGCUCAACACGUUUACCUUGAAAAAAUCAGAGCGAUCAAGGCAGGCCUUCGUGCUUGUAUGUUGUUGCAAGGAAUAAUAGAAUAGGACUUCGGUUCUAUUUUGUUGGUUUUGAGAAUUGAAGUAAUGAACAAUAGAGACAGUCGGGGGCAUUUGUAUGGUGGCGUUAGAGGUGAAAUUCUGAGAUCGUCGCCAGACAAACUACUGCGAAAGCAUUUGCCAAGGAUGUCUUCAUUAAUCAAGAACGAAAGUCAGAGGUUCGAAGACGAUCAGAUACCGUCCUAGUUCUGACCAUAAACGAUGCCGACCUACAAUCGGGGGUGGUUUAUUAUAUUGACCCUCCCGGCUGUCCUCAGGAAACUUUAAGUUGGUUCUGGGGGGAAUAUGGUCUCAAGACUGAAACUUAAAGGAAUUGACGGAAGGGCACCACCAGGAGUGGAGCCUGCGGCUUAAUUUGACCCAACACGGGGAAUCUCACCCGGUCCGGACACUGGUAGGAUGGACAGAUUGAUAGCUCUUUCUUGAUUCAGUGGGUGGUGGUGCAUGGCCGUUCUUAGUUGGUGGAGUGAUUUGUCUGGUUAAUUCCGAUAACGAACGAGACUCUGUCCUGCUAAAUAGUCCAGUGGCAUCAAUCACUAUGUGAUUACAGCUGCUGUUACUUCUUAGAGGGAUUCGCGGAUUUAAACCGCAAGAAAUAGAGCAAUAACAGGUCUGUGAUGCCCUUAGAUGUCCGGGGCCGCACGCGCGCUACAUUGACAGUAGAAGCGAGUAUUUCUACCUGGUUCGAAAGAAUUGGGAAAUCUUCGAAUUACUGUCUCACAGGGAUUGAGGUUUGCAAUUUUGCCUCAUGAACGAGGAAUUCCCAGUAGGCGCAAGUCAUCAGCUUGCGUCGAUUACGUCCCUGCCCUUUGUACACACCGCCCGUCGCUACUACCGAUUGAGUGCAUUAGUGAGGACCUCGGAUUGAGAACAUAGUGGCGCAAGUUACUUUGUUUUCGAAAAGUGGUUCAAAUUUGUGCAUUUAGAGAUAGUAAAAGUCGUAACAAGGUU